GGGGGUGAGAGAGUCAGUGGCGGCAGACGGCGAUGCCAAGCCACCCUGCUCCCCAGAGCCAGCCGGCCAGGAGUUCCAGGAGGCUGAGCAAAGGCACCUUUAGCAUGUCUUUUCCAACCCGGUGCCCCCCACCACCUACUCCAUCCACUUGAAGGCGUACUCUGCAGAGGGGGCCAGCCAGGACUCAGCCCCCAUCUAUGCCUCCACCCUGGGCAGCGCACCCGCUGCCUUGGGCUUCUCCAUUCAAGUGCUCAACGCGUCCUCAGUGUGGGCUUCCUGGGAGCUGCCAUCCCAUCCAGGGUUUCAAACUCUAUCACCGCAAGCUACCGGCUGCCCACUUUGAGGGACCUAUGCUCCUGGCCAGCAGUCAGCUCCUUCCUUUACACAGACCUAGCUGCCCGUAGAGCCUGCCGCCUUGUAUGAGAUGAAGCUCCAGGUGUUCAAUGGUCACGGGGAUGGGGACAGUAGCACCAACUUUGUCUCUGCGGGAUGUGGCCCAAGCCACCCCUGAGUCCAAGGGUGGGUGCUCUUGCAGCCAGGACAUGGGCAGCCUGUUGCCUGGGGUUGCAGCGGGCAUCCAUGUGGGCCUGGCUGCCCUCAUCGUUUGCCUCUUCUGCCUCUUUCUGGGCCGGAGACACAGAUAGGGGUCCCAGCAACGCUGGGCCGUGCCUCAGACUGCUGCGGACAGAGCUGGGGGUCAUCAAAGCCAGGAUCCAAGUGGGGGCAAGCCAAGGCAGAAGACGGAGCUCAUCAUCCAGGACGCUCCCUUCCCAGAGCUUGUCAUCAAGGGUUGGUGGCUUCCAAAACACUGGCUGCAUGUAGAGGUCUCGUGGAACAAAAGUACGUAAAAGAUUGAAGGACUCAUGCCCUCUGAGAAAAGGGUUCAAACCAGGCCCCCAUGGCUGGGCCUCAGGGGCUCUAUAGCCAUAGCUCAUCUCUCCCUUACCCAAAAAAUUCUUCCAGCCGAUUGCCACCCGCACCCCCACCCCCACCCCCACUAAAGCACAUCACAGGGAAGUUUAGAAACCAUUCCUUUCUUUAUUAAACAUA